UACAUGGGGUGCAAACGUUGCUCGGAAUUAUUGGGCGUAAAGCGCACGUAGGUGGUCUGUUAUGUCAGAUGUGAAAGCCCUCGGCUUAACUGAGGAAGUGCACCUGAAACUGGCAGGCUUGAGUACGAAAGAGGGUCGCGGAAUUCCCGGUGUAGAGGUGAAAUUCGUAGAUAUCGGGAGGAACACCAGUGGCGAAGGCGGCGAUCUGGGUCGAUACUGACGCUGAGGUGCGAAAGCGUGGGGAGCAAACAGG
rnacentral:rRNA from 1 species